AUACCGUGAGGUGGAGCAAAACUCAAAAAAUAGAUCUCAGUUCGGACUGUAGGCUGCAACUCGCCUACACGAAGUUGGAAUUGCUAGUAAUCGUGGAUCAGCAUGCCACGGUGAAUACGUUCCCGGGUCUUGUACACACCGCCCGUCACACCAUGGGAGCCGGAAAUGCCCGAAGCCUGUGACCCAACCCAAUAGGGAGGGAGCAGUCGAAGGUGGAGCCGGUAACUGGGGUGAAGUCGUAACAAGGUAAC
rnacentral:rRNA from 1 species